rnacentral:rRNA from 1 species
UUGAACGCUGGCGGCAUGCUUUACACAUGCAAGUCGAACGGCAGCACGGGGGCAACCCUGGUGGCGAGUGGCGAACGGGUGAGUAAUAUAUCGGAACAUGUCCGGAAGUGGGGGAUAACGUAGCGAAAGUUACGCUAAUACCGCAUAUGCCCUGAGGGGGAAAGGGGGGGAUCGCAAGACCUCUCGCUUUCGGAGUGGCCGAUAUCGGAUUAGCUAGUUGGUGGGGUAAAGGCUCACCAAGGCGACGAUCCGUAGCUGGUCUGGGAGGACGACCAGCCACACUGGGACUGGGACACGGCCCAGACUCCUACGGGAGGCAGCAGUGGGGAAUUUUGGACAAUGGGCGCAAGCCUGAUCCAGCAAUGCCGCGUGCAGGAUGAAGGCCUUCGGGUUGUAAACUGCUUUUGUACGGAACGAAAAGACUCCUUCUAAUAAAGGGGGUUCAUGACGGUACCGUAAGAAUAAGCACCGGCUAACUACGU